UACGUAGGGCGCAAGCGUUAUCCGGAAUUAUUGGGCGUAAAGAGCUCGUAGGCGGUUUGUCGCGUCUGCCGUGAAAGUCCGGGGCUCAACUCCGGAUCUGCGGUGGGUACGGGCAGACUAGAGUGAUGUAGGGGAGACUGGAAUUCCUGGUGUAGCGGUGAAAUGCGCAGAUAUCAGGAGGAACACCGAUGGCGAAGGCAGGUCUCUGGGCCUUACCUGACACUGAGGAGCGAAAGCGUGGGGAGCGAGCAGG
rnacentral:rRNA from 1 species